AUAUAGAACAGUUCUGAAGUUAUUUUGCUCAGCAGCUGGCCAAAGCUUAUAAGGAUCAGUGAUAUAUUUCAGUAGAUUUAGUAAUGUUCACAAGCCCUAAAAUCCUCAAAACCUGCCAGCUAAAAAUGGUGAAGAGAGACAGAUAAGAACACUGCUCCACUCAGUGUGGUUUCCGUUGCCUCGUGGCAACUCUGUUAUACAUCUGGAUUAAGGAUCCUCAGCCUCAACCUAACCUUUCCUCCAUGAGGAACCGUCUCACUGUUAACUGACUAGUGUAGCCUGCCUGGCCAUUAGCCUACGUGAAAUAAAGUUUUGCUUUAAAACAAGUGUAAAUCUCAUACAGCAGAUAAGUGCAGUAGCAGCAGCAUCUUGCAAGUUGUAAAGAAGACAGCGGCGAUGUAGCUGGACUUGAAGCCAGACAGGAGGAAUUAGGGAACUCUGUCACUGAAUUACAGCACGCAGAGUUGAAAACCAUUUGUAGACAAUUUCGUGUUACAGUAGGUAGCCUUUAGCUAGUAAGCAAAGGUCUCUGUUUCUCAUUUCUUUCCUGUUCAUCUUCAUUGUUGUCCUUCUUCCAAAACGGCAAACAGCCAAAGCAGAAGGCAAUUUCAGUAUUAAUCUAACUAAGGUUUUGUGUAGUUUACUAUCAUCCAGGUAAGCAAAUAUAACUGCCUGCCUGCGUGCCUGCCUGUCCCCAAUCCCUGCUCUGUGUUUUCAUUUAAUAAAUAUUUUGGUGUUCUACUUA
rnacentral:lncRNA from 1 species